UAACAAACCCUAAAAAAUCAAACCAGCACCCAAUUCCAUUUAUGUGCUUCCUCCUUUCAAUGCUUCGAAGGAAAUCCACACACUCCACCCUCAUUAGAUGACUCGUACCUCUUUAAUGGCGGACUUAACUCGCAUUAUUUGUUGCCGGAUUUCUACCAUCUGUUUAUCUGAGCCCUUCUCAUGUCCUGAUUUUAAGUCCUAACCCCUCUGCUGCCUUCGGUGACACCAUUCCUAUCAUUCGCAUCGACCCUAACGACCACACUAGGUCCGAUCAUAUUCAGAUGAGUAUUUUCUCUAUAUUUUAACCCUUCUAUUGCUAGGGAAUAGGCCACUAAGUUUGCUUGUCUACUUGCAUGUUGAAAUCUACAAGAGAUAAAGUUCCUUCUCAUUCGUUUUGCAUCAGAAAUAAAGGCCCUUAUAUUUUAUCUAUCUUCAUCUUGUCUUUGUACUUUCCAAAAUAUAGAUAACGCAUCGCCUUCAAUUUCAACUCGUAGGAAACCAGAUUCUGCCCUAAAUCUCACUACUUGGACGCAUGCGAGAGCCUCGGCUGCAAAGCGUCGAAGUUAAUUUUUACAUUCAAUCCUUCCGGGGGUUUCCAGUUUUCCUUUUGUACUGGGUUCACAGGGACCAUCUAAAGCCCAACCUUGACCAAACUGCAACAGCAAAAGGGCAGUCCUUGAAUACAUGAUCUGUAGUUUCGGGAUAGUUGAUGCAUCUAGGGCAAUUACUACUACUGGCCAAUCUUCUUUGGAAAAAAUUAGAGAAAGUAGGUAGAUAAUUAUUUAGAGUUUUCUAGACUAGGAAUUUUGUUUUUGAGGGCAAAUCAAUCGACCAUAGUUUUUUGUACAGUGGCUUGUAAUAAUUGUGGUUAGCUUACAUAUUUGUUUGGCUUUUGGUCUAUAUUAAAAUUUUAUACCCA